rnacentral:rRNA from 1 species
ACAUGCAAGUAGAACGCACAGGAUGCACCGUAGUUUACUACACCGUAUUCUGUGAGUUGCGAACGGGUGAGUAACGCGUAGGUAACCUGCCUGGUAGCGGGGGAUAACUAUUGGAAACGAUAGCUAAUACCGCAUAAGAACAUUUACUGCAUGGUAGAUGUUUAAAAGGUGCAAAUGCAUCACUACCAGAUGGACCUGCGUUGUAUUAGCUAGUAGGUGAGGUAACGGCUCACCUAGGCGACGAUACAUAGCCGACCUGAGAGGGUGAUCGGCCACACUGGGACUGAGACACGGCCCAGACUCCUACGGGAGGCAGCAGUAGGGAAUCUUCGGCAAUGGGGGGAACCCUGACCGAGCAACGCCGCGUGAGUGAAGAAGGUUUUCGGAUCGUAAAGCUCUGUUGUUAAGGAAGAACGAGUGUGAGAAUGGAAAGUUCAUACUGUGACGGUACUUAACCAGAAAGGGACGGCUAACUACGUGCCAGCAGCCGCGGUAAUACGUAGGUCCCGAGCGUUGUCCGGAUUUAUUGGGCGUAAAGCGAGCGCAGGCGGUUAGAUAAGUCUGAAGUUAAAGGCAGUGGCUCAACCAUUGUAGGCUUUGGAAACUGUUUAACUUGAGUGCAGAAGGGGAGAGUGGAAUUCCAUGUGUAGCGGUGAAAUGCGUAGAUAUAUGGAGGAACACCGGUGGCGAAAGCGGCUCUCUGGUCUGUAACUGACGCUGAGGCUCGAAAGCGUGGGGAGCGAACAGGAUUAGAUACCCUGGUAGUCCACGCCGUAAACGAUGAGUGCUAGGUGUUAGGUCCUUUCCGGGACUUAGUGCCGCAGCUAACGCAUUAAGCACUCCGCCUGGGAGUACGA